GUAGUCCACGCCCUAAACGAUGUCAACUGGUUGUUGGGGAAGGCAACUUCCUUAGUAACGAAGCUAACGCGUGAAGUUGACCGCCUGGGGAGUACGGCCGCAAGGUUAAAACUCAAAGGAAUUGACGGGGACCCGCACAAGCGGUGGAUGAUGUGGAUUAAUUCGAUGCAACGCGAAGAACCUUACCUACCCUUGACAUGUACGGAAGCUGGGUGAGAGCUCAGUGUGCCCGAAAGGGAGCCGUAACACAGGUGCUGCAUGGCUGUCGUCAGCUCGUGUCGUGAGAUGUUGGGUUAAGUCCCGCAACGAGCGCAACCCUUGUCACUAGUUGCCACUUUAACCGGGGCACUCUAGUGAGACUGCCGGUGACAAACCGGA
rnacentral:rRNA from 1 species